GCAUCAUUCCUUUGAGAUUUUAUGUAAGUUAUUUUUAGAAAAUAAAUUUUUCUGUUGUCUCCUGCCAGUUUACUUCACAUUUUGAUGCAACAACAGUGUGAUUACGUGCUCAUUUCAUUAAGACCAUUGAUGUCUGUGUUUUUUAUUGCAGAACUCAAACAACUUUGGCGUUGUCUGAUUUGGAGAGUCAUUAUUCUUGGUCUUCGCUCUUAGAGGCCACUGAUGAAGAACAGGCGGUGACUAGGAUGAAUGCUGGUCAGAGAGGAGAAUCUUCUUUCCCCUAAACAGCAGUGGUUUUAAAGGAGGACGCUGCCCUGGAUGAUGUAGAAGAUGUCACAUGCUGUGCUGAUGGGGUUUCUUAAUGACUCCAUCAGUUAUGCUAAAGAGAUCAUGAAAAUUGACCGUUAUGCAUGAUCUGUAUUCAUGGACUAUGAAACAAACUGUAAGUGUAUAAUUUGUAAAAAAAAAAAAAAAGUUAAAUGCUUUUUCUGUGUUGUUUAGUAGAAGAGUUUACACUCUGUCAUUCAUACAUCUGCUCACAUUCUUUCACACACACACACACACACACACAUGCGUCUGUUAAAGGUUAUAAUAUCAAAGUUAAUGUUGUGAUUUAUUUGUGUACUGUCAUGCCAGAAUAGUUGGAAAAAAACCUAACUAAUUGUAAAUUUAUUGUAUGUGUUUUCGUAUAUUUUUAUACAAUAUAUACAAUUGAACAAAGUCCAAUUUGAUCUUAAGUUAUAUUCAUCAAAUGUUCAAUGCUUUAUGAACUCUGUAGCUGUUAAUGCCAUCCUUUUCUGCAUUUCUUCUUACAUGUUACUUUUUGACUUUUCUCUUGUUUUUAAUAAAUAUUUUCCUUUUGGUAAUUAUUA